GGGCGGAGCCAGAUUUAGUGGAGCGAAAAAAGCCGAAUGGUUGACACCGACAUCGAUAUGGGAUAUGCUGUGGCAGCGUCUUUGGAAGUGUGUAUUCCUGUCUGUGGAUAAUAAGUAUAGUUGUAUGAUUUAAAAACACACGCGGUCAAGAAGGAAGACCUGCGCUCAACUGGACAAUUGACGGGACACAAACUCUGCAGCUCCGGUAAACCGGGCGAUUUGCUUCAACCCACCCGCCUCACACACUCUGGCAAACAGGAAGAAGCGUCGAUGGUCAAAGUUGUUUCGGAUGCCCAGGUGGUGGCAGUCCCUGAGAAGAGAGAGGCCCAGAGGUCCUCCAAUCAUCUCCUUGAUGAAGUCCAGGUCCUGAGGCAGCACCAGUUGAUGUUCCUCCAUCACCGGCCUCAGGUGACAGGUCUGUGGCCAUAACUUACGUAAUGACCCAGUGUCUUGUAGUGCAUAUGGCCUGCUUCUCCCUGCAGCCCCUAAACCAGAUAUUGAACCUUUUCACCUCUUGUCACUCUUCCCAUAUUGUACAUACUCAAUGACCUGCAGGAUGUUGGUGUGUGCGUUAACUGGCUGCACACUUCCACCAUAAAACCAAGUUACAUGGACAUGGAAAUUUGCGCAAACACUAGCUUAAGUACCAGAGAGCCUGUUUCUAAUAUGAAUAACACAGUUACGUGUAUUGCAAUGUGCUGUACAUGUUCUAACGUUUGGAGUUUAAAUGAUAUUGUUAACAUUUAUUACAGCAAUAAGAAUUAAUGUCAGGAUAACUUCCAUUUCCAUUUCUGCAUGACAUGUCAUUUUUUGAUAUUUACAGUUUUUCUCAAUUACUAAAACAUUUCUUGAAAUUAUGCUUUUAUUUCCCAAAACUCACAUUUCACAAAUAUUCACAAAUUCAAACUGCACAACAAUUCUAGAAACUUCCUGCUUCCAGGACAAAACAAAACUCUCUACUCAAAACUUGUACUCAAGUGUGAGAUCAAAUCAAAACACCACUGGAAAAACUGGCAAUGAGUAAUGUUGCUUAUGGUGCCUUACAAAAAACUCUUUACAUGAUGAACAUUUGUACAUCUCUAUUCCUCAAUAUACAGUGAAGUAUACAUGUAAUAAAAUUAAAUUAAUAAAAUAAAAGGUGAAUACAGAAAAAAAAAAAUUCUGCAACAGUAUCCCGUCUCUGGUCUGGGUCAUGCCAAAGAAUUUCAUGCACAUUACAGGCAUUACAGCCAGGCAGCGGGGGAAAAACACCCUUGCAUGUCUUAUCCACCAUGGGUGUGGUUUUUUUUAUGGUAAAUGGUGUUGUUUUUGAAUUUUUAGCUCAUAAGCCUGGUAAUAAUGUGUAAGCAAUCUGGAAAAACUGUAAAAGCAUAAAUAACUAGAUAAUUUGCAUUUCCUGCGGAAAAUGCGUGUGAAUCCUUUGCACUGAAUGGAUUGCUGAAGCAAUGCUGGAAAUGGCUGAAAUCAUUGUUGAAAUGAAGAAGAAAAAGUUAAAAGUUGGAAGUGCCCGCUGCUGGAUUCAAACCAGCAACCUCAUGACUGACUGCUAUACCGGUUGCGCCACUGAAAACCACAGGAUACUGCCUGGUGCUAAAAUUAAUUGUAGUGGUAGUACAUUUACAAACUUGUAUUGAUAGCAAAUUUGCAAAAAGUGUAAAAUAUUCAUAAUGAUCUCAAUUGUUAUUAUUGUGUAGAUAAAGUGAAUACCAACCACAGUAUGGCAGUUUAAAAACUGGCCUGGUUUGGGUGGUUUAUGUACACAGAGAGAGCGCCAGAUAAUAUGGAGAUGAAUAGAGCAGCUCCUCUUGAUGAUCAGAGGCUGCUAUGGAAAAAAAAAACGUGAAUCCUACAGUCACACUAUUGCUCUUCAAAUCUUUAUUAAUAUUAUUAUUAAUAAUACUAUUUUUUAAAAAUCUAUAACCAUCCACUGCUGGACUUGAACCAGCAACCUUGGGUUCAAGAGACAGCUGCUCUACCGGCUGCCCCACUGAAGACUGCAGGGAAUUGUGUGGUGCUAAGAUCAACUGUAGUGGUAGUGAAAUUGCAAAAUUUCAAAAACACUAUAAACAGCGCGAUUGCAAAAAGUGUAAAAUGUUCAUAAUGCUCUCUGUUAUUAUUUCUUUUCUCUGGAGGGUUUUUUGAUAUAUGUCUGGGUUGGGGCUUGAACAUGAGAUAUUGGGUUGGUAGGCAGCUGCGUUACCGAUCCCGCCAC